AACAUAGGAAGCCAAACCUAUUAACAGUGUCCCUUCAAGCACUUUCUGACAGAACAUACACAAACUUGCGGCUCCGUCUGUAACUCCAUCCGGACACUUAGAAGCCUGGUUCUUCGUCUUCCAUCUCUCAUCCCCUUCUGGUGAGAAAAGGGUCCAAUGUUGGGCUUGGUCUAAGACUGCUUAUUUUUGCAAUUUUACUUUGGGGUUGCUAAAAGGUAUCGAUUACAAACUACCUGCGGAUCCAGCUUCUAAGCAUUGAUAAAUGCUGAGGGAACAAGCCCAAGCCAACAACAAGCCCCAAAAUAUCUUCAAUUUGUAAGGCAGAAACGCCACUCCUCCCAACAAGAGAGGCACAAAUCACGUUCCUGCUCCAUCAAAUUAAAAACGAAUAACAAAAUAAAAUUAAAAAGCAUCUUUCAUUCUGAACAAAAUUAAAUUUUCUGGGUCACUUUUUUCCGUCUCGCCGGGCCACGUUUACAGCCUGACGGUGCCGGUGAACGCGAGCUGUUCACGCCAACAGUUUAGCGGUCGCCCUCUGAGAGCGAAUACCUACCUACCGUUCUCUUUCCUGCCGCAGUUCGCGAAGAACAGACCCCCGCCCCCACCCCUGCCCUCCCCACCCCACCACUCGCUUGCGCUCCUUCUUGCAAACCGCAAAAAGGCGAGGUUUAUCGGAGAAAAAGUUAAUGAACGCCUGCUUCUGGGGUAAAGGUGCCCCACCUGCGAUCACAGCAUCGGAAGACUGGAAGUACCUAAGAGCACGUACCCUCUGCUCGCUGGCCCCAGUCACUGAGCGCUUCGCACCCAGAAACCCAGGAACAUGAUUUAUAUGCAGACCUGCACCCAUCCCACACAAGUCCGCACGCCAGCUUGCCUAACCACUUAUGUAAGCUCGUGCCUCUACAGUCCCAAACUGCACACACACGCACAGCCCGACACCUGUCACGCAUCCGAAAUGGACAGCAUCCACACCCAGGAGAUGAAAUGAAAUCAACACAUAUGAAGGGGGGGGGGAGGGUGUCUGCCGUUUUAAAACCUCUUUUCCCCCAAUUGUUUCCUGCCCGUUUUUGUCACAACUACAAUUACCUUAGCAACCAAAGAAUUGCACUGACUCCCCCUCCGGCUUCUGAAUUUCUCCUAAAGCCAAGCUUGCGCCAGGUUCAUGGUUUAUUUGGUGUAAGCAUCUUCGUGGAGCUGGCUGCAGCUGUUUGGAACAGGUGGAAUUUAAAGUCAUGGAACCUCGAGAAUUUCCUGUAGCAGUGACAGCGUCUGCAGACAGCAAAGCAAGUUCAAGAUUGGAAGACUUCUCCAAGCAUGUGGUUUGUGUUAAUUACACAUACUCAUACACACGCACAUGUCCUGAUACAAACCCAUGGGCCUUCCCCUCCCCCUGAAAAUCACUGUUCUAGUCUUUCUUAUGAGGCUUCCAGCUGGAGCACCAGGAACUAAGGGAUUUUAACCUGCAUCUGAGUGAGAUAUAAGUGUGCCCAUUGGUAUUUACUUGCUCGUAUUUAAUAUACAUCCAAGCAAGUAAUUAGCAUUUAAAAUACCCUGACCAGAAACGCUAUUCUAAGAGCAAUUGCCCCAAGUUGAUCUUUUCUCCAUUCAUGAGAACGAUUUAUAAGAAAUAUCUCAGAGUUCUUUUCAAUUAACUCAAAAUGCCUUCUUAUUCCUAUUUCUCUCCAUUCUGACCUCCUUGCCUGAGGAAGUCUUCAUGUCCCCCCUUUCUCUGCAGUAGACCUCAGCUGCAUCGUGUACACUCAACUAUCAGCCCUCCUCACCAGCCCCCACCCUCGGUGGUUCCGUGUUGGGGUUUGUCUUCCAUACCGACCUUCGCCACACUGUUGAUAUCUCAACUUUCCUUAUUUAUAAGGAGCAUGCUUACCGCACAGCAAACUGGGACCACAACAGUAAUUAAAGGUAAUUCCCAAAUUUCUUUUGGUCUGGAUGAUAAUGCUGCUGAGCUGUCUUGGGCAUGUUAACCACCAGCACAGAUCAAUCAGCACCUCAGCCUCCCGUUCUCCUCAGCCCUAGGGGUGACAGAUUGCAAAGCCCUUGGUCUGAACUAUCAGGUUUUCCUAAACCUAGAACAAUUAAUUCAUCCUGUUCAUGCAAAGCUGCGCUACCUGUGCCAUAUUUCUGGCCUUGCUACAUACUUUGAGUCCCACUGAUUUCACCCAUGAAAAAUAUUUCUGAUGUGCAUUGUGCUAAUGAACAAAUCCUCUGGUGUUGAUGGGAUAUGGAUAACUGAAGCCAU
rnacentral:lncRNA from 1 species